UCGCCUCACCUAUCGCCGUCGCCUUGCCGGUUGCCAUCCGUGUCCCCGUCGAAGUGUUGGCUUCAACUUUCAAAUGGGAAUUAGGAGUUGGUGAAGAUAAUAACAUCUUCUGGAACUGAGUCUGUUGUUUCACUGCCUAAUAGAAAAAAACGGUUUUUUCGGUUGAACUACGAUUAGACCGGUUAGACCAGUAAAUCAGUGAACCAAUGACUAAUA